CUACAAGAUAAGUCUAAGAUAACAUCAUUUCCUUAUUUUUUUUAGUUGUCGUUGGACAAGCAAAAUAAAUCCAAGACAUGUUUUUUUUUUUUUUUUUUUUUUAAUCAUUGAAACCAACUGUAUACUCCAUAUCUCCUCCAUUACUCAUUAAAUUAACACCAUAACUCCUCUGCGUACAAAACAGAGAUUGAGAAUACUGUUGAAUUAGUAGACCAAUCAUACUAUCCGGUUCCCCACAACCCAAUUCCCUCUCGGUCUCUCCCGAGUCCGGUCGUCGGUGUCACUCUGGCCGGCUGCCGUAAGUGGAUUCUUUACCGGUGAACACCCCACACCCACACCCACACCUCUAAUCUAGAGAGAAACAGAGAGAGAGACCGAUGAGAGAGAAAGGAGGGCUGGCCUCCUCCUCGCUUGCAACGGCUCCGGCACGCUGUUGAUGUGGAUGAUGAAUGAUGAUGAUUGACGGUGAAGGUGGUGGUGCGUCGGAGCCGGCAACGAUCAACGACAGCACAAUACGGCGCUCCAGUGGCCGUGAGCGGGGCGAAGGUACCUUCCGACGGGUUUUUUUUCAUUUCAGGUGGGGGUUCCUGCCGAUUCAGACGAUGAUGUUGAUGAUGACUCACGGUGCUGGAGUCACACCGGCACGACGACGGUGAUGGUGGUGACCAACUCCGGUGAGUGCAUCAUUGUAUUAUUAUUUUUUUUUCAUUUUUUCGUUUCGGGUCGACAUAUCAGUUCCUCACCGUGCUAAUCAUAUUUUUUUUCUUCGGUGGAUCUUUGUAAUUUCGGUGAUGCCUUGGGUGGUUACUGGGGGCGGCACACGACUGUAGCUGACGCCAGCAGCGGUGGCGGCGGGGAGUGGUUAAUCAUGUUCAUCUUUCUUCUUUCUUCUGGUUCGAGUGAGUUCGGGUCUUAUUUCGGUUCGAUUUCGCAGCAGAGCGGGUCUCCGUUCAGGAUCGGACUCGAGUCAACCCAGUCAACACAACUGGUUGACUGGUCAAAUAUGGUCAAACGGGUCAGACUCGGUCAACAGCAGUCAACUCUGGUCAAAACAGUCAACACCGGGUCAAAGUUAGUCAAUGCGGUUCGACGAAACAGCACGAAGAAAUGGAAUGCUUUAGUUGCACGCUAGCUAAAUACAUGAUCUUGGAACGGCACUACGGAAUCACGCUAGGCUAGCUUUGCACAGGAAUGUCAAGAUCAUGUGAGCAUAGGCUGUAACUGAGGUGCCAUUAAUCCUUUUGAGGACCAAGGAACAAAGGUUAGAUCUAAUGGGUACGGGCGAGCCCCACUCACGGUCCAUGGGUGACCACUUAGAGUGCUGUUGUGUCCAGCGUCGAGAGUUCGACACUUAAAUUGCCUACGCGGGUUGA